UACGUAGGUGGCAAGCGCUGUCCGGAUUUACUGGGUGUAAAGGGCGUGUAGCCGGGCUGACAAGUCAGAUGUGAAAUCCGGGGGCUCAACCCCCGAACUGCAUUUGAAACUGUUGGUCUUGAGUAUCGGAGAGGCAGGCGGAAUUCCUAGCGUAGCGGUGAAAUGCGUAGAUAUUAGGAGGAACACCAGUGGCGAAGGCGGCCUGCUGGACGACAACUGACGGUGAGGCGCGAAAGCGUGGGGAGCAAACAGG
rnacentral:rRNA from 1 species